rnacentral:rRNA from 1 species
GACGAACGCUGGCGGCGUGCUUAACACAUGCAAGUCGAACGAGUGGCGAACGGGUGAGUAAUACGUGAGUAACCUGCCCUCUUUUUGGGAUAAGCCUUGGAAACGGGGUCUAAUACCGGAUAAUGGGGGAGGGGCUCGGGGCCUUUCAGCUUGUUGGUGGGGUGAUGGCCUACCAAGGCGGUGACGGGUAGCCGGCCUAAGAGGGUGGCUGGACACAUUGGGACGGAGAGACGGCCCAGAGAGCUAAGGGAGGGAGCAGUGGGGGAUAGUGCAAAAUGGGCGAAAGACUGAUGCAGCGACGCCGCGGGGGGGAUGAAGGCUUUCGGGUUGUAAAACUCGUUCGCUAGCGAACGGGUAGGUGGAGAAGAAGCGCCGGCUAACUACGUGCCAGCAGCCGCGGUAAUAC